ACUUAAAUAGCUUAUAUAGAGCAUAAUAUUGAAGAUAUUAAGGAAAUUUAAAAUUUUUAAGUA
rnacentral:tRNA from 1 species